rnacentral:misc_RNA from 1 species
AACACCUGUGAAUGCUCUUUUCCUUUUUCGAUGGCUAUGGUCUGUUCAUACAAAGAGAAGGCAUCUUUGAGGUUCCCCAGCCGAUGUUCCAUGUUUGCAUGCUUAACGACUGCUUCAAGAAGGCCAGGCGUGAUUUCAGUGUGUACAAGUUUGUAUGCAGCUCGGGCACUGGGUAUAUCUCCAUUCUGCUCUCUAAAUCGGGCAGCAAAGAGGUGAAUCUCUGGUUGUCUCUUGACAAAGACUUGAGUUGCACGAGCAAGUGCAUUAUUAGCAAGAUCCAAACUUCCACAGGUUUCCAUGCACAAGACAUAACGUACCCAAUACUCAGGAUAAUUAGCACAAGCAAUUAGGCAUCUUUCAUAUAACUUGACCACCUUGUUAAAAUCA